AACGAAACAUAAAUCAGCUAUUCCUUUAGCUGGAACUCAGUAAUAUUAUUCACUUUGCAAUAGCUGGUUGUAUAAAUUAUUUGAAGUUGAGUGAUGUAUUGCAGCAAAUUCAGCUUCAUUUCUGUAUGUGAAGGACAUAGAUUUAGAUUGUCAAUGACUAACACGUGCGAUGUGUAAAAACCGAUACCUGAACUAUGAAUGCAGUUUCCUAAUUUGGUGAAUGAGUGUAUUGGAAUUGAUUUUUUCAAACACGACUUUACUGUGUGAAAAUAACUUAAAUGAUAGCCGAUCCUGGACAGCAUUACCAUUUGCAGUCAUAAAACAAAUUUGAAAACUGUGAAUAAAGUAUAUAAAUAAUUAGAAAUGCGCUUUUUGAAAGUCUAAAAGUUAAAUUACUUUUAUUUCGUGCUUUGCAUGUCUUCGGCAACAAGGCAUAAAGUAGUGACGAGAUAUUAUUUGUUAGUUGGUUCACAUGUGCGUUGAAUGAAUUGAUGGUUUUAUAAACAAAAUAUGACGAAAGCAUUCGCGACAUAACACCACCAAUGCUGAUAGAGUCGGAAGAAUUAUUGUUUCUUUCUCACCACGUUUUGCGUACGAUAAAAGGAAAGAAUAUACACACAAGGGACAAAGAACGAGUACGGAUUCAAAGCUUUUGUUGAUUAUCUAUCGAAAGAUAAGCAGUUCUUCAGCAGAUUACCUUCAUUUCAAUUGGAAAGAGUGCCAAUGCUUAUGAUAACUUAAUAAGAAGAGUAACGUUCUUGAUAAGAAGAGUGCCUUAUUGAUAUGUAAUUACUGAUUACGUCACAAAUUCGAUCGAGUAGCACAUUCAAAUACACGGUUAUAAUGUCUUCCGCUCUGCUAGAGGCACGGUCAUACCGGCCGUUUAAGUCCAGUGAAGAGUAUUUAUAUGCUAUGCGGGAAGACCUGGCUGAAUGGCUAAACACGAUGUAUCCAGAAUUACACAUUAAUGUGAAUAACUUUAUGGAUCGACUAGAUACUGGUGUUGCACUUUGUAAGCAUGCUAAUAAUGUUCGACAAGCUGCCGAAGAAUAUGUUACGCGAAGACAAGCUCGCAACAAAUCCAUUACCAAAUCAAUAACAUCUGGCCUAGCCGGUCCGGUGUUGAGUAUGGGCAAUGUCCAGUUUUUGCCGGCAGCUAAAAGUGGCACAUUUUUCGCGAGAGACAAUGUUUCUAAUUUUAUCACUUGGUGUCGGAAAAGUUUACAAAUUUUUGAAUGCCUGCUGUUUGAAACCGAUGACUUAAUUAUGCGAAAAAAUGAGAAGCAUGUUAUACUGUGUCUUUUGGAAGUCGCCCGACGUGGAGCAAAAUUCGGUAUGCUUGCCCCGAUGUUGGUUCAAAUGGAAAGACAAAUCGAUAGAGAGAUUGCUGCUGAUAAUAAAGCCAAUGCCAUUUGCAGUGAAGUAAAAAUUGAUGACAAUGUUCGUAUCUCCGUAACAGGAGUAGAAAUGGAUUUAUUCGAUUCUGAGAGUGAAGAAGAAAAUGACACCUGUAGCCCCAUGCUAAUGUAUGGUCCACAUCAACAAAUCAUCACAAACGAUUUAAAAAGUUUAGAUGAAAUGGUUCGUGAUCUCGUGGAAAAAUGCACCUGUCCUUCGCAGUUUCCAAUGGUUCGUGUGUCCGAGGGAAAAUAUCGUAUUGGUGAUACCAAAGUACUGAUCUUUGUUCGGAUACUGAGAUCGCACGUCAUGGUUCGAGUCGGUGGUGGCUGGGAUACAUUAUCGCACUACUUGGACAAACAUGAUCCUUGUCGAUGCAAGGCACAGCAUCGCUCUUCUGUGGCUGCACGACUAAUUACUAAGUCGAAUCAACCAAAAAAUGGCAUAGAAUUACAUAGAGCUCAAGUUGUGUAUGAAAGGUUGGCAGUGCCAAUGUGGAAACAACAGAACGAUUCUCAGCAGUGUUCGCCUAAUUUGGAUAGUAAUAGCAGUACUACGUCCACACCAGUUCGUACUCGCAGUCGUAGCCGGAGUCCAGCUCAAUACAAAACUAAUCACAGCCAUAAUGCUAAAAUUACGGUCUAUGAAAAAGGAUUCAACGUUGAUUCGACAAAUCUGACUUGGCGUUCACCUUCUCCUAAUCCUCGGCAAUUGGAAGCAAAGAAGAAGCAAAACACGAAAGAACUAUCACAUAAACCGGAGCCUAAAGCUAAUACGAAUCAAGCGUCAGUUCAUUUCGAAUGCGACUUGAAUGAUUUCGUGAACGAAGCAAAGCUUGAGAACGUUGCUGAAGAUAAAUAUAAUAUGUAUGACAACGUAAGCGACAACGGAAGUGAAAUAAGCGAUGAAGGUUAUCGUAGCUUGGGGAUCAUACAUUCACAAGGACCACAAAAACGGGUGCCAUUUAACAAUCAAACGAUAAAUAAAGAUACUAAAAGUGGAGUUGUCAUUGAUAAAACAACCAGUCACUCAAAUACUUGUUCAAGUCAACCAACAGACAAUAAAUUCGAAGAAUCUGGAUUAAAUAUUACUGAAACCGAAAUCACCAUCAACAUUGAUAAUAGUAUUAAUUUCCCAGAGGCAGAACUUCCAGUGGUUUAUGACAACGAAGCAUCUGCUUUUAAGAACAUGAUAAGCAGUAAAAUUCCAGUUUCUCCAGAGCUAUCAAGACGCAAAAAGGCAGAAAACGCCUCAUCGCUUACGGUUGGAAAGCUAACUGCAAUAAAUCGAAAAAUUCCAACCUAUCGUUCCAUGCGAAAAACCAACCAGUGCUUAGAAGAUAAGGAUACUUGCAACAAUAGUACGGUUACACAUAGACAAACUAUGUUAGCAGAUACCUUCGAAACAAAACCAAUUAGUGUAGGAACCGUAUCCUCUAGGAAUUCUCCAUCAAGAUCACCUGUUUGUGACAAAAAUUCUAGCAAGGCACAUGGCAAUUUCAAUAGCACAAUAUCGAACAAGCAGGGACACUGUUCUAAUUUAGCACAACAAUUGAUUGAUGCCGCUGCCAAUGGACAAAAUGAUUCUCAAAUUAUAUUUAAAGUGAAGGAGCUACUCUCCAAAUACUCCAACGAUGCACCACAAUCAAAUGACUUCACCGAAGAAUGGGUAACAAAUAAUAAAACAACUAAUUAUAACUCCAAUCAUGAUUUAAAGCAGUGCUGUAAUAUGUUAACUACAUCAGAAGCAGAUAGUUGCAAAGAAGUUUUACCGAUGACGUCUCCUCGUCGAGAUAAAGGCAUAUCCAAAAUACCAACUCCAGUUCUUCCAAACACUGGACCUUUAUGAAAUAAAUAUGAUUACAUACUGGCAAUUAAUCAUGCUAAGCAUGUUUCAAAGGAGCGCAAACGUAUAGCAGAUAUUGUGUUAAAAAUGAAUCCAUUUAUUUUCGACAAACCAUCAUCUAGCGGAAUCAUGAAAGCACAUAUUCCUUACAGGAAUUGGUAACAUCUUAAAUGAAAGAACCCAGAACAACUCGUAAUGUAGCAGCAUUCCAGUCAUUCGUGAAAAAUUUCUGAAUAUUUUAAAAACCCGAAAAGUCAUAUCAAAGAACAUAAUUCCAUUUACAUUUAAUGAUUACAUUUUAAUGAUAAAUGCUAAAUACUUGAAUGUAUGUUUAUUGACUGUGAGACUUUAUUUUUAGGGGUGUUUCUGACGUAGGACUACAUCUUUGAUUUCUAUACUGGGGUGCACUUUAGAAUAACGAAAGGGAACCUGUAACGAAAAGCUCGCUUAUUACUCAGUCAUCCCUCAAUAGAUUGUAGAGAUAUUGGUAUCAAUCGAUUGGAAAUUUUUCUAAGAAUCCAUUAAAAUGCAGAAGAGUUCCCUUAAAAAACUUUUGAAUAAUUGAAAAAUGUUAGGCAUUGUCUAACUAGAAAUCCACGCUCUGUGAUUGGUCGGAAUAAAUAGUGCUAAUUUGCCGUA